AAAUCUUAAGGUUUUCGAAUGUCUUUGUUUUGCUACCAACAUCACUCCUCAUAAAGAAAACUUUACUCCUAGAGCUUUCAAAUGUAUUCUCAUUGGCUAUGCACAUGGUUACAAAGCUUACAAACUUUACAAUCUUUCUACAAAGCAAAUACGUUUUUCUAGAGAUGUAGUUUUUUAUGAAAAUGAUUUUCCUUACCAAAAGACAAAUGCUACUCCCAACAGUGAUUUUGUUAUGCCAUUACCUGUUUUCCAAGAAGACACAACCCAAUUACACACUCCUUCUUUACAACAUCACACCAACACAAAUUCCAUUACACCAUCACAAUCAGUUUUCAAUUAACCUUCAUUAGUCCCAACCCUACCACAUAUCCCUCCUUUUUUUUAUUUUUUUA
rnacentral:misc_RNA from 1 species